GUGUGUGUUGUGUUAGUGUAUGCAGUGUGUGUGUGUUGUGUUAGUGUAUGCAGUGUGUUGUGUUAGUGUAUGCAGUGUGUGUGUUGUGUUAGUGUAUGCAGUGUGUGUGUGUGUGUAUGCAGUGUGUGUUGUGUUAGUGUGUGCAGUGUGUGUGUUGUGUUAGUGUAUGCAGUGUGUGUGUGUGUUGUGUUAGUGUAUGCAGUGUGUGUGUGUGUUGUGUUAGUGUAUGCAGUGUGUGUUGUGUUAGUGUAUGCAGUGUGUGUGUGUUGUGUUAGUGUAUGCAGUGUGUGUUGUGUUAGUGUGUGCAGUGUGUGUGUUGUGUUAGUGUAUGCAGUGUGUGUUGUGUUAGUGUAUGCAGUGUGUGUUGUGUUAGUGUAUGCAGAGUGUGUGUUAGUGUGUAGUGAAUGCAGAGUGUGUCAGUGUAAUGAAUGUAGUGUGUGUGUUAGUGCAGUGAAUGCAGAGUGUGCGUAAAUUUGUAGUGAAUGCAGAGUGUGUGUUAAUGUGUAGUGAAUGCAGAGUGUUAGUGUAGUGAAUGCAGAAUGUGUUAAUGUGUAGUGAAUGCAGAGAGUUAGUGUGUAGCGGAUGCAGAGUGUGUGUUAGUGUAGUGAAUGCAGAGAGUGUGUUAAUGUGUAGUGAAUGCAGAGAGUGUGUUAGUGUGUAGUGGAUGCAGAGUGUGUGAGUUAGUGUAGUGAAUGCAGAGAGUGUGUUAGUGUGUAGCAGAUGCAGAGUGUGUGAGUUAGUGUAGUGAAUGCAGAGAGUGUGUUAGUGUGUAGCGGAUGCAGAGUAUGUGUUAGUUUAGUAAAUGUAGAGUGUGUGUUAGUGUGUAGCGGAUGCAGAGUGUGUGUUAGUGUAGUGAAUGCAGAGAGUGUGUUAGUGUGUGGCGGGUGCAGAGUGUGUGUUAAUGUGUAGCGGAUGCAGAGUGUGUGUUAAUGUGUAGCGGAUGCAGAGUGUGUGUUAGUGUAUGCAGUGUGUGUGUUGUGUUAGUGUAUGCAGUGUGUGUGUGUUGUGUUAGUGUAUGCAGUGUGUGUUGUGUUAGUGUAUGCAGUGUGUGUUGUGUUAGUGUAUGCAG